CGCUCUCUCUCCCUGGUAUCUCACUGCUGCGUCGGUGCAGGUCCUUGAAAUUGAGCCUGGAAUGAAAUCAUGUAUCGAUCGGCUAAAACAUUACACUAAGUUCCUCCUCCUCUGAUGACUAAAGGCUUUGUUGUUGGACCUCAGCCAACUGCCUGGUUUCUUCUUCCUUUGGAAUGAACUCUUUCCAUACAGUUCUUAAUCUCCUGCUCAUAAUUUGACUUCUUUGGAACCAGAGCACUGAUUCAUCAGGCAUUAUCAGAUAUGCUUGAAGUUCAGCAAUGGAGACAGUUUAUGUUCUUUUGCAGAAAUCUUCUCAGUCACUACAGAACUCCAGCAGAUCUAUUCUAUAAUUUAUGCAACCAUGCCUAGAACCCAAGAGUGGACAGUAAAAAGCAGCACCGACUAACAGAGGAUGACAAGCCUACCAAUGAGAGGAAAGGUAUUCAGAUUUGGAAGGUUGUCAUCACUAUGACAUAAACCAUGUCAUAAACUAUGAAGACAGCAUUAUAACUGGCUUCUUUCUAUUCUUGCCCACCUACAAACUAUCUCUACAUUGAAGCCGGAAUGACCUUUUUAAAUAAAAUUUUAAUUGUGUCACUCUUGUUUUAAACCCCUCCUGGGGC